UACGUAGGGUGCAAGCGUUAAUCGGAAUUACUGGGCGUAAAGCGUGCGCAGGCGGUUUUGUAAGUCUGUCGUGAAAUCCCCGGGCUCAACCUGGGAAUUGCGAUGGAGACUGCAAGGCUAGAAUCUGGCAGAGGGGGGUAGAAUUCCACGUGUGAGCAGUGGAAUGCGUAGAGAUCCGGAAGAACACCGGUGGCGAAGGCGGUCUGCUGGGCCAGUUGCUGACGCUGAUGCGCGACAGCGUGGGGAGCAA
rnacentral:rRNA from 1 species